UUGAAAUAUGUCAGUGCUGUGAACUCGAAAGAAAAAGAAAGUUCUAAAUACUCAUAACAGUUAAUUUAACUGAACUAAUUUGUUCAAUUUAAGUUUGUCCUACUCAAACCAAUUAAGUAUUUUGAGCAUUAGGGUUUGCAGUGGUGAAGUACAUUACUACACAAAUAAUAUAGUUUACUAAGUUGUAAAUAAUGGCUAAAAGGCGUUUACUGUACAUUCUGUUAAUUAUUAAUUACUAGCUUAUUUUUGCUUAUUUAUCGCAUGAAUGUGGAUCUUUCAAAUGUUUAAUAAAUUUUAAAUAAUGGCUAAUAUGCCCUUACUAGCCUAUAUGUUAAGUUAAUCAUUAGUUAAUCAUUAAUUACUAGUGUGUUUGUGCAUAACACAUACAUAUUUGUGGACCCUUAAAAUAAAGUAUUACCAGAUCUCCUUUGAGAUCUACCUCCCUCCCCUUCAGGUACAGUCAUAAUAUGUUAAUCUGUUUACAUUUUUUAGAGGUAAGAAGACAGAUAUCUAAGAAGAUGAAUAUGUAUCAUUUCCAUCUUAUGUUUCUUGUCCCUUGACAGACCCAAAGGAAAAGGACAGUGAUUCCCAAACCACAGAGAAAUGUUCCCGAAUGACUGUUGAUGAAUAUCAAGCCACAACCUUGACAGAGACUCAGAAGAAGCUGAAAUAAAUGGAGGAAAAUGAAAAAUUGAGAAAUGACAACAAAAAAAGCUACCAAAUCUGUUAAAUGAAGUGAAGAUGGCCCUUGAAGUCUCAGUGUUUGUCAACGUCGCCAGUCAGCUCUGACUUGGAAGGCGGACUGGGUUUGACACAAAGUAAUUACAGAGCCCUCCCUGCCGAUGUUUUGCCUUUUAUUUAUUUGUCUCACAGGAGCAACGUUGCAAAAAGUGUCCUCAUGUGGUGCCCUCCAGCAUUGGUGCAGCCAUCAAUGCCAAACUUACUGAAAUUACAGGGAAGAAGAAAACAAAAACAUCCGAAAACCUUAAUGCUCUUUGAUGAUUGAUAGCCAUGACAGUGUGUUCAAGUCAUUGACCGCGGCUCCAGCCCUUGAACCCGUCCCCCAUCCGAGAUGGCUGCCAUUCCAGUGUCUCGUCCUGAGAUGGCCGUCGUUCCAGAAUCUCUUACCGUCAUGGCCGCCGUUCCAGAAUCUCUUACCGUCACGGCCGCCAUUCCCAUGUCUCUUUCCGUCAUGGUCACUGGUCCAGAGUCUCGUCCUGUCAUGGCCGCCAUCCCCGAGUCUCAUCCCGUCAUGGCCGCCGUUCCAGAGUCUUGUCCCGUCAUGGCUGCCGAAUCUGAGCCCUCAGCCAAAAUGCCCACCACAUCUGGGCCCUCAGCCAAAACGGCCGCCACCACGCCUAUAACUCUAACUUCCUUCCUCGUCCGGGAUCCAGAAAUGACCUCCUUCCUCGUCCAGAGAUGACUCCCUUCCUCAUCGAGAGCCCAGAGAUGGCUCCAGCCCGAGUCUGCUCCAGUGUCAGCUCCAGCCCCUGAGCCUGCUCCAGUGUUGGCUCCAGCCCCUGAGCCCACUCCAGUGUCACUCCAGCCCCUGAGCCCGCUCCGGUGUCGGCUCCAGCCCCUAAUAGGCCUAUAAACUCUAAAAAUGUUGGGUUAAAAACAACCCAAGUUAGGUUAAAUACAUUAAAGGUCUGUGUAGCAUGACUCAAAUGAGAAGUGCUCUUUCUUUCCGCAUCUGGCGCGCUCUGUAGUACGACGUAUAACAAGUUAUAAUCGCACUUGUAUGAAAAAAGUACAAAUAUAAAGUUCAAAUUUAGCUGUGAUUAUGAAAGAUUAUCACGAAGACCAUAAAACAUCUGAAUGUCAUUUGCUGACACCUAGGCUUAGGCUACCUAGUUUAUUGGAAUACAUUUCACAAGACAAUAUUAUUACCAGAAUAAGGUACAUCUCUAAACAGUUUCGCUAGUAUAAUGUUAUAAUUAUUUUAUUGCUAGCGCGCUAACUGGGAUAGCUAGGAUUCAUUUCCAAUUGAUUUCACUUUCCGGAGAAUGUUAAAACUGACUAAAGAGAAUUUCUUACUCGAAACUUCAUUUUGAAAAUAUAAAAUUCAGUUUUAGAAUAUAUGUAAUGUUUCAGUAUACAUUAUCUAAUGUUAUAAAAGUUAUAUACAUGAAAAACGAUAGGACUUACCUUUUAUAAUAAGACUGCAGCAGCUUCUUUCUGUUGACAGUCACUGGACUAUUAAAAUUUGAACCGUCGUUGCGGGAACUGUAUUUAAAGGGUUAGUUCACCCAAAAAUGAAAAUUCUGUCAUUAAUUACUCACCCUCAUGUUGUUCCACACCCGUAAGACCUUCGUUCAUCUUCAGAACGCAAAUUACAAUAUU